GAUGAACGCUGGCGGCGUGCCUAAUACAUGCAAGUCGAGCGAACGGACGAGAAGCUUGCUUUUCUGAUGUUAGCGGCGGACGGGAGAGUAACACGUGGAUAACCUACCUAUAAGACUGGGAUAACUUCGGGAAACCGUAGCUAAUAUGGGAUAAUAUUUUGAACCGCAUGGUUCAAAAGUGAAAGACGGUCUUGCCGUCACUUAUAGCUGGUUCCGCGCUGCAUUAGCUAGUUGGUAAGGUAACGGCUUACCAAGGCAACGAUGCAUAGCCGACCUGAGAGGGUGAUCGGCCACACUGGAACUGAGACACGGUCCAGACUCCUACGGGAGGCAGCAGUAGGGAAUCUUCCGCAAUGGGCGAAAGCCUGACGGAGCAACGCCGCGUGAGUGAUGAAGGUCUUCGGAUCGUAAAACUCUGUUAUUAGGGAAGAACAUAUGUGUAAGUAACUGUGCACAUCUUGACGGUACCUAAUCAGAAAGCCACGGCUAACUACGU
rnacentral:rRNA from 1 species